ensembl:processed_transcript Gm14634 predicted gene 14634
ACCCAAAGCCCAACAUUGAAACACAUGUAGUCCUUAAAUCCUUUGCUGGUGUUCUUGGCUUUUGUCCCUGCCCUUGCAGUAGCCGCCCUAUCCUGCCUGGGUUUUCAUCUUUCCAACUACAGCCUCUUUCUCCCAAAAUCCACAUGUUUUGUCUGUUUUCUAAUCUUGGCUUCUGUUUGAAACGAACUGCAAGCCUUUAAACAUGUCUGUGGGUUCCCUCCACCUCCAUAGAUUCGGAAGCAAUUGGUCUUUCGUGAUGUCUGGGCUUCGAAAGUUUUUUUGUGUGCGUUUAUUUUUGUUUUUUGUUUAGUAACCUAGCUAUUCUCACGCACAAGUCACGGAAAAAUUAACUGUUAAAAGCGUCUAUUUUUGUGACCCUACCUAAACAUCGUUUUGCAGCUUCAUCUCUCGCAGGUGUAACAGAUGCUCAUGCUGAUCGUAAGGCCCAAGGAGACUUUUCAGCACAGCCUCUGAAGCAGUGGCAUUGGCAGCAUCUCCUCUGCUCUCUGGGAACCAGUUGGCAACCUCUGGAAGCAUUUUUCAUUGUCAGUGUUUCCUGAGCCUUAUAUGUUUGGAGUGUUUGCUAUAAACUGGGACUGGGCUCCACAACUCUAUGGACUGGUUGUAAGUUUCCAUAGGUGGUCUCCUCUGUUGUAACAAGAAGUUUCCUUGACCUGUGGGUCAUUUUAAUAACAUAAAAUUAAUUUGUCUGUCUUUCUUUUUGGGCUGGAGCCUUAUACAGACUUAGUGCAUGUUCUACCACUGAGCUGUGCCCCAGAGAGAAGAUUGCUGUUGUUGUUUCUGUUGUUUUGAGACAAGGCCUCAUGUCUCCAAGGCUGACCUUGAACUUAGUACAUACCUCGAUGGUCUUCUUUAUCAACUCUGCUAUACUUGGAAUUAACUAAAACCCAAAAAUGGAGGUGCAUACCUAUGAGGGACUUUUGCUUAAUUUGAAAUGGGAAGAUCCACUUCUAAUCAAGAUAUUUAAGGUGGGAAAUUCCACCUUUAGGCUAUGCCUUCUGCUGGCAGCCUAUAUGAACAUAGACAUAGAAGAAGGAAGCUUGCUUUUUGCCUGCUUCCUCUCACUCUUGCUGGCAAAUCCAUUCCUUCACUAGCAUUAGAGCCUUCUUCUUUGGAAUUCUGACAUAUACUCAAGACCAGCUGACAUAUCCACCCUUGUGCACUGAACAACUUCUAGAUUCUUGGACCUUUUGGUAGUAGACAGUCGUUAUUGCACUAGCUGGACCAUAGAGCCAGUAAGCCAUUCUAAUAUAUCCCCUUUCUAUAUAGAGAGAUUUAUUCUGUAAGUUCUGUUACUCUAGAGAACUAAUAUAAUACCUAAGGAUAACCCUGAACUCCUGACCCUCCUGCCUCAACCCCCUGAGUGUUAGGUUUACAGGCCUGUUCUGAACAAGCUAUAGGCAUCACUGGGCAGAUGGUCCUGGGUGAUAUAAAAACAGGCAGCUGAGUGUGACCUGGAAGCAAGGCAGUAAGCAGCCUUCCUGCUCACUGCUUUAGCUCCUGCCCUGUCUUCCUUUCAUGAUGGACUGUAAUGUAUAAAAUGAAAUGAACCUUUUCCUUCCC